rnacentral:ncRNA from 1 species
AUAAGUGCAUAAUUGUUUGCGCUAAUUGUCACAGAGAGUUGCAUGCUGGUAUAACGCAGCUUUCCGUCGAGAGGCGGAUCGAAUAACUGGGUGAAUUCGGGGAAGCCUUAACUGGUAAUCCCGAGCCAAGCCGAAAAGGGUAUUAGUUUUUCGGAAGGUGUAGAGACUAGUAGGUGAGUCCCAACAAUAAUCCUACAUAAGCGCCCGGUCGCCAUGUCUCAAAAGAGGUGUGGUGAAUGAGAUAGUCCAUGCCAUUAUGAAAAUAAUGG